rnacentral:rRNA from 1 species
GGUUUAGGAUUUUCUGCUCAUGAAAUUUAAAUGGCCGCAGUACUUUGACUGUGCUAAGGUAGCAUAAUCAAUUGUCUCUUAAUUGGAGACUAGAAUGAAUGAAUUUAUGGUUAAAUUCUUUAUUUAUAUAUUUUAUUAAAAUUUAUUUAUUAGGUGAAAAUACCUAAGUAAUUUUAUUAGACGAGAAGACCCCAGGAAUUUAAAUUUUAUUUUUUAUUGGGGCGAUAUCUAAACAAUUAACAAAAACUUUAGAUUUUUAUAAUAAAACGAAAGAUUUUAAUUAAAAAUAAAUUACCCUGGGGAUAACAGCAUAAUUUUUUAUAAAGAUUGUGACCUCGAUGUUGGAUUAGAAAAAAAUUUUACUUAAAGAGUAAUUUUUUAUGUUCUGUUCGAACAAUAAUAAUUUUUCUACGUGAUCUGAGUUCCAACC